AUGGCUGCCCAGAACAACAAGGAGGUGGAUGCCCUGGUGGAGAAGAUCACCGGGCUCCACGCCGCCAUCGCCAAGCUGCCGUCGCUCAGCCCUUCCCCGGCCGUCGACCUGCUCUUCACCGAGCUGGUCACGGCGUGCGUUCCCCCGAGCCCCGUGGACGUGACCAAGCUCGGCCCGGAGGCGCAGGAGAUGCGGGAGGGCCUCAUCCGCCUCUGCUCCGAGGCCGAGGGGAAGCUGGAGGCGCACUACUCCGACAUGCUCGCCGCCUUCGACAACCCUCUGGACCACCUCGGCAUGUUCCCCUACUACAGCAACUACAUCAACCUCAGCAAGCUGGAGUACGAGCUCCUGGCCCGCUACGUGCCUGGUGGCAUCGCCCCUGCCCGCGUCGCCUUCAUCGGCUCCGGCCCGCUGCCGUUCAGCUCCUUCGUCCUCGCCGCGCGCCACCUGCCCGACACCAUGUUCGACAACUACGACCUGUGCGGCGCGGCCAAUGACCGCGCCAGCAAGCUGUUCCGCGCCGACAAGGACAUGGGCGCCCGCAUGUCGUUCCACACGGCCGACGUAGCGGACCUCGCUGGCGAGCUCGCCAAGUACGACGUGGUCUUCCUGGCCGCACUUGUUGGCAUGGCGGCUGAGGACAAGGCCAAGGUGAUAGCACACCUCGGCACACACAUGGCAGACGGGGCGGCCCUCGUCGUGCGCAGCGCACACAGGGCACGCGGGUUCCUGUACCCGAUCGUCGACCCCCAGGACAUCACCCUAGGUGGGUUCAAGGUGUUGGCCGUGUGCCAUCCAGACGACGACGUGGUGAACUCCGUCAUCAUCGCACAGAAGUCCAAGGACGUGCAUGUUAGUGGACUUCGCAGCGGGCCUGCUGUGGGUGGACAGUCUGCUCGCUCCACGGUGCCGGUGGUCAGCCCGCCGUGCAGGUUCGGUGAGAUGGUGGCGGAUAUGACACAGAAGAGAGAGGAGUUUGCCAACGCCGAAGUGGCCUUUUGA
rnacentral:rRNA from 1 species